rnacentral:lncRNA from 1 species
CGAUUCUGCAACUGAAAUUAUCUCCCACCCACAUCGCCUAGGUCUUCCUCAUUCUCACUCACCACGUUAAUCUCUCUCUCAACUCUCGGUUAUAUUUUGAUACAAGUAAUUGCUGUAAGUAUUUACCUUCUCAGAUUUUUGUUUGGAUUUUGUAUUUUGUUUGUUUUCUUAAACAAUAACAAUUGUUAUUUUUUACUCAACAGAAAGCUCACGUUUUUCUCUCCAAUGUCGGAUUCAACGUCCCACAAGAAGGUUACCAGAGGUAUACCAACCAAAGUACUCAAUUUCGAUGGGCCCCCUUUCUCUUUGCAAAUCACUCAAUUUGAUGCCAAUUUAUGGGGCCCUCCUUUGGGACUAUGCUAUGCGUAAGAUAGAUGUUGAUGCCAUAAGCGAGAGCGAAGCACCCUCAAAGAUUGUUAGGCAAAUUACGGAUUCGGAUACAUCGGUUAAGAUAAUGUUAGAGUAGUCUUAGGUGAAUGUAGUUUAGGAUGGUAGUUUUUGUGAAUACUAUUUUUUGGAUAGUGUUUUGGUAAAGAUGGUGUUUAGUUAAGAAAAAAUUAUGUAUUCAUUUUAUUCAUUGUAUUAACACUGUUUAUAUAUGAUCAUUUCAAUUAUUCAGUCAAUGUGUUAAGUUUUUGUGCAUCUGAAUUCAUCUGUAAUCAAUAGGUUGUGUUUGUAUGGUUACAACAGGUUGUGUUCAUGUGUAUUCAACAGAUUGUAUUCAUAUGUAUUCAACAUAUUGUAUUAAUAUGUAUUCAACA